GGAGAAACCUGACGCAGCGACGUCGUGUGAGGGAAGAAGGCCUUCGGGUCGUAAACCUCUGUCAGAAGGGAAGAACAUCCGGGAGUCGAACAGCCUCCCGGCCUGACGGUACCUUCAGAGGAAGCGCCGGCUAACUCCGUGCCAGCAGCCGCGGUAAUACGGAGGGCGCAAGCGUUAAUCGGAAUCACUGGGCGUAAAGCGUGCGUAGGCUGCUUGAUAAGUCAGACGUGAAAUCCCUCGGCUCAACCGGGGAACUGCGUUUGAUACUGUCGAGCUAGAGUCCUGGAGAGGGUGGCGGAAUUCCUGGUGUAGGAGUGAAAUCCGUAGAUAUCAGGAGGAACACCGGUGGCGAAGGCGGCCACCUGGACAGGUACUGACGCUGAGGUACGAAAGCGUGGGGAGCAAACAGGAUUAGAUACCCUGGUAGUCCACGCGGUAAACGAUGGAUGCUAGGUGUCGGGGAGCGAUCUUCGGCGCCGCAGCUAACGCAUUAAGCAUCCCGCCUGGGGAGUACGGUCGCAAGGCUG
rnacentral:rRNA from 2 species